rnacentral:rRNA from 1 species
GAUGAACGCUGGCGGCGUGCCUAAUACAUGCCAGUCGAGCGAACAGAUGAGGAGCUUGCUCCUCUGACGUUAGCGGCGGACGGGUGAGUAACACGUGGAUAACCUACCUAUAAGACUGGGAUAACUUCGGGAAACCGGAGCUAAUACCGGAUAAUAUAUUGAACCGCAUGGUUCAAUAGUGAAAGACGGUUUUGCUGUCACUUAUAGAUGGAUCCGCGCCGCAUUAGCUAGUUGGUAAGGUAACGGCUUACCAAGGCAACGAUGCGUAGCCGACCUGAGAGGGUGAUCGGCCACACUGGAACUGAGACACGGUCCAGACUCCUACGGGAGGCCGCAGUAGGGAAUCUUCCGCAAUGGGCGAAAGCCUGACGGAGCAACGCCGCGUGAGUGAUGAAGGUCUUCGGAUCGUAAAACUCUGUUAUUAGGGAAGAACAAAUGUGUAAGUAACUAUGCACGUCUUGACGGUACCUAAUCAGAAAGCCACGGCUAACUACGUG